GACGAACGCUGGCGGCGUGCCUAACACAUGCAAGUCGAACGGGACAGAGAGCUUCGGUUUUCUGUUUAGUGGCGAACGGGUGAGUAACGCGUGAGGAACCUGCCUUCCAGUGGGGGACAACAGUUGGAAACGACUGCUAAUACCGCAUAACAUGUACGGAUCGCAUGGUCUGUACAUCAAAGCUUUAUGUGCUGAAAGAUGGCCUCGCGUCUGAUUAGCUAGUUGGUGAGGUAACGGCCCACCAAGGCGACGAUCAGUAGCCGGACUGAGAGGUUGAACGGCCACAUUGGGACUGAGAUACGGCCCAGACUCCUACGGGAGGCAGCAGUGGGGAAUAUUGCACAAUGGGGGGGAACCCGUGAUGCAGCGACGCCGCGUGAGUGAAGAAGUAUUUCGGUAUGUAAAGCUCUAUCAGCAGGGAAGAUAAUGACGGUACCUGACUAAGAAGCCCCGGCUAACUACGUG
rnacentral:rRNA from 1 species